CUCUGUGAUAUUUAUCUAAGUGCCUCUCAUUCAAAAUGGAAAAUAUACCUUUGCUAUGUUUCUUUGGAAAUUGUGCAGCUUCAAGAGAACACAGAGGAAAUCAGACUGGCUUUAACUUGUAAUGAAAACUGGUUAAAAUGUAUGCUGUUCUUCAUUUUUAUUAUUUAUUACAGUCCUUGCCUGAGUAUAUUGAUUUUGUGCCAACCUCUGUUCUUGUCACAGUUUUUGUCACACAAAUGAGGUUCCAGAAAUGUAAUGCCUAUAUUUUAUGAAAUACCGUCCUGCGCCAUUUCAGGAUGACCUUUUUAGUAUUCUGCAUUCUGAUGGGUCGACCGUUUCUGAGGCAGAGGCACUCAAGACCACCUCAGCCCUGUCUCCUCCUCCAGGGAGCCCAGUGGGCACCCAGCUUCACCAAGCUCUGCUGCAGGCAGCAUUUGGCCACUGACUGACUGAAUAUGCGGUGUCUGCCAACAACCCUAAUUCUCAUAUUUCUGAAGGACAGAGGAUCUGAUCCAAAGAGCUGUAAUCUUGAAUUUCAACCAAGAAAAGGAAAACAAUUGAAAUCAAUGGGUUCUGAAUCUCACUUCAAUUCUCAUCCUCUCAUGGCUUCACUGUGGCUGCAUUUGCCCACAUGUGAUUGCCUCUGAUGUCUCCAAGAUCCCACCUGAAAGAGAAGAAGCUAAAACAUAGCAUUUAAAUCAUAGCAACUGAUUGCAAUCUGGUUUGAGUUCUAUGACCUGCUAAAUCCAAGCCAUUCAGCUUUGGGCAAAAUACUCAGUAGGGCUACACCACGUAGCAUCACUGAUCAUAGGGCAGCCAGAUUAAUUUAUAUCGGGGCUAGAUUCUUGACUUGUGGCUACUCAUUUUCUUUGUCAUUACCUUUCUUUUCUAGACAACCCAUAUUUUCCCCAUGCUUCAGCAGAUUUUUCUGAGAUGGAUAUCUCACUGUGCCAUAGCACUAUAGCAAUGCUAUUGGCACUGUGAUGCAACACAGCUGCAUCUUAUGGAUGUUUUUCUAUCCCUCCUGCACAUUUCCAGAAACUGAAAAGUGAUUUUAAAAGGUGAGAAAAUGGAACAUCUAAAUGAAGAUUUUUUUUUUUAAUAUCUGUAAAAUAAUUAUGAGCCCCAACUCUUGUACUCACAAGACAGAGGCAAAGUCUGAAGCAAUACGAUAUUCUUUGCUGAUGAGCACAUUAGCUAUAAGAGGUCUAUUUUCCUGCUAGGCAGAAUCAGUUUGUGCCAGUAUGGGGGAACCAAAACUUUGUCAUAUUAAUCCUCAACAUUGGUGGGUGGCAUAUUGAUUGUGGUAUUAUUGUUCAUGUUCUCAGUUUAGUAAUGUCCAGGACUCUGAGUUAUUAGACAGUAAGGUCUUCUAGUUAGUGAAAGAUUUUAGAUUCUCAUGUUCAGAGUUCCUUCCUGUAUGUUUUUUCCUUGAUAUACAUGGAUAUUUACUAUGAAUGAAAAAAAAAAAAAAUCAAUAAAUAGUAGUUGCUGUGAUACUUGUAACAUGCCAGCUUGUUCGCUUCCUCCAAUAAAAAUAAAGGGCAUGCAGAGCAGGGCUGGAAUUUAUGAAGUAUUAUCAGUUACUCAAUUUCAACAGUCAGAAUAGUCUGCUUAUGUUAUCUGCUGAUUCAGCACAUAACUGAAUGUCUUUUUCUUUUUAAAAGGCAGUAUUUUGAAACUAUACAUACAUUUCCUUGGAAGAGUCCAGAGCAAAAUCAUGUGUCAGACAUACAUAAGUGAGACGCUACAGUAUGGUAAGCGUAUCUGAGAGUUCAAAAUACAUUCUUUCUUUGUUGUCUGGCUGUCAAUGAACUUUCAGUAGAGAAAAUAUUAUAUUGCUUUAUUGUAUAAUAAAUUGUAUUGUGAGAUAGAUUUUUGUUCUAUAGCCCUGGUAAUCUUCUUGUAUUUCUACUGUUAGAAACAUUGCCCUUAGUUUGGUGCAUUUCUUGACUUGAAUUCUACUUCUUUCAAUGUAUGAAUCUAGCAAUAAAAUCUUUUAUUUUGGGAGGCUC